rnacentral:lncRNA from 1 species
UCCCAAUGAUACAAAGGAAAAUAAAUAAAAAAUAAAGAAGAAAUAACAAAGCAAGGCAAAGGAAAGGAACCACAUAGCAACCCACAUCAGUCAAAAUCCUACUGUAAUUAGUUAUCAAAUGGAGCUUAACCAAGAAAGCAAUCCAAAUACACGUAAUAAACUAUCACAAAUUCGAAUGAUUCAGAUCAAAAUUCUUGAUUUGAGAAAGGUUAUAAUCAUAAAACUCAGAAUCCAUAUUGAAAUAAUACCAAUAUGAAUUUCAAUCAACACACGAAUUAAACAAGGACAUGAUGCAAUACUACUCAUAUAUAACCAUAUAUAAAGUAUAAACGAACAUGAGUAAACACAUACUCAAACUUAACACUAAAAUUAUGCCAAAUAGGAUUUCAGAAUCUGUUCGGAAAGAAAUUGUGAGUCUAGAUAGAGGGAUGAUCAAUUUAGUACAUCAAUGAAUGUCUUAUGGGCUUCCAUCAAUCGAAAUCUCUCUUAAAAUUUGUCAAAAUAUAUUAAAAAUAGAGUUUUGGGUUUUCCAAGGGUAGAGGACAUGGAGAGAUGGAGAUGAGGGACGAUUUGGAUUUGUUGGUAGUUGAAAAGAUGGCAGUGAUAGAAUUUUUUCCGACUGACGGCCGAAGAUGGUGGCUAGCCAAUCGUAGGAGCAUAGAGGGUGAAGGCAACAUUGCAUGGUUCACCGACCAUGGUAGUCGGUGUUGUGGUGGUGGUUGGUUUUGGUGGAGUUGUUGGAGAGAGAGAAUUGGUGGUGCGGUGGAUGAUUUGGUGGAGUUUGUUGUUACGCUGGUGGAUGGACGGAGUUAGAGGGUGGAAGUAGUUUGUUGGUGUGAGGAAAAAAAUAAAGGUAGCACCGGUCGUUUAGUGGUCUGCUCCACAACAAGGAAUUGAGAGGAGGGAGAGAGAGACUGAGGGGUGGGGCGACUGUUUUGUUGAAUGGAGUAGGGAUUUUUGGUAUAUGUAAAAAGAAAGAAAUAAAGGUCUUUAAUUUUGACCAUGGAUCAUGU